rnacentral:rRNA from 1 species
AUACGGAGGGUCCGAGCGUUAAUCGGAAUUACUGGGCGUAAAGCGCGCGUAGGUGGUUCAGUCAGUCAGAUGUGAAAGCCCCGGGCUCAACCUGGGAACUGCACCUGAUACUGCUGAGCUAGAGUACGGUAGAGGGCAGUGGAAUUUCCGGUGUAGCGGUGAAAUGCGUAGAGAUCGGAAGGAACACCAGUGGCGAAGGCGACUGCCUGGACUGAUACUGACACUGAGGUGCGAGAGCGUGGGUAGCAAACAGGAUUAGAUACCCUGGUAGUCCACGCCGUAAACGAUGUCAACUAGCCGUUGGGGGACUUGAUCCUUUAGUGGCGAAGCUAACGCGAUAAGUUGACCGCCUGGGGAGUACGGCCGCAAGGUUAAAACUUAAAGGAAUUGACGGGG